rnacentral:rRNA from 1 species
GUUUGUCGCGUUGUUCGUGAAAUCUCACGGCUUAACUGUGAGCGUGCGGGCGAUACGGGCAGACUUGAGUACUGCAGGGGAGACUGGAAUUCCUGGUGUAGCGGUGGAAUGCGCAGAUAUCAGGAGGAACACCGGUGGCGAAGGCGGGUCUCUGGGCAGUAACUGACGCUGAGGAGCGAAAGCGUGGGGAGCGAACAGGAUUAGAUACCCUGGUAGUCCACGCCGUAAACGGUGGGUACUAGGUGUGGGUUUCCUUCCUUGGGAUCCGUGCCGUAGCUAACGCAUUAAGUACACCGCCUGGGGAGUACGGCCGCAAGGCUAAAACUCAAAGAAAUUGACGGGGGCCCGCACAAGCGGCGGAGCAUGUGGAUUAAUUCGAUGCAACGCGAAGAACCUUACCUGGGUUUGACAUGCACAGGACGCCGGCAGAGAUGUCGGUUCCCUUGUGGCCUGUGUGCAGGUGGUGCAUGGCUGUCGUCAGCUCGUGUCGUGAGAUGUUGGGUUAAGUCCCGCAACGAGCGCAACCCUUGUCUCAUGUUGCCAGCGGGUAAUGCCGGGGACUCGUGAGAGACUGCCGGGGUCAACUCGGAGGAAGGUGGGGAUGACGUCAAGUCAUCAUGCCCCUUAUGUCCAGGGCUUCACACAUGCUACAAUGGCCGGUACAAAGGGCUGCGAUGCCGCGAGGUUAAGCGAAUCCUUUUAAAGCCGGUCUCAGUUCGGAUCGGGGUCUGCAACUCGACCCCGUGAAGUCGGAGUCGCU